AUUGAACGCUGGCGGCAGGCCUAACACACGCAAGUCGAACGGUAACAGGAAGAAGCUUGCUUCUUUGCUGACGAGUGGCGGACGGGUGAGUAAUGUCUGGGAAACUGCCUGAUGGAGGGGGAUAACUACUGGAAACGGUAGCUAAUACCGCAUAACGUCGCAAGACCAAAGAGGGGGACCUUCGGGCCUCUUGCCAUCGGAUGUGCCCAGAUGGGAUUAGCUAGUAGGUGGGGUAACGGCUCACCUAGGCGACGAUCCCUAGCUGGUCUGAGAGGAUGACCAGCCACACUGGAACUGAGACACGGUCCAGACUCCUACGGGAGGCAGCAGUGGGGAAUAUUGCACAAUGGGCGCAAGCCUGAUGCAGCCAUGCCGCGUGUAUGAAGAAGGCCUUCGGGUUGUAAAGUACUUUCAGCGGGGAGGAAGGGAGUAAAGUUAAUACCUUUGCUCAUUGACGUUACCCGCAGAAGAAGCACCGGCUAACUCCGUG
rnacentral:rRNA from 1 species